rnacentral:rRNA from 1 species
CAAUAGCGUAUAUUAAAGUUGUUGCAGUUAAAAAGCUCGUAGUUGAAUUUCUGGGCGGCCCGCCGGUCUUCCAAGUGUUGUACUGGGCGGCGCCGGCCAUGCUUGUGGAGAGGGCUCGCAUUUGGUUGUGGGUCGGAUCUGCAUCAUUUACUGUGAAAAAAUUAGAGUGUUUAAAGCAGGCUGUCGCUUGAAUACAUUAGCAUGGAAUAAUAAGAUAGGACUUCGGUCUAUUUUGUUGGUUGCGAACCGAGGUAAUGAUUAAUAGGGAUAGUUGGGGGUAUUCAUAUUUAAUUGUCAGAGGUGAAAUUCUUGGAUUUAUGAAAGAUGAACAACUGCGAAAGCAUUUACCAAGGAUGUUUUCAUUAA